UACGUAGGGUGCGAGCGUUGUCCGGAAUUAUUGGGCGUAAAGGGCUCGUAGGCGGUUUGUCGCGUCGGGAGUGAAAACUCAGGGCUUAACCCUGAGCCUGCUUCCGAUACGGGCAGACUAGAGGUAUGCAGGGGAGAACGGAAUUCCUGGUGUAGCGGUGAAAUGCGCAGAUAUCAGGAGGAACACCGGUGGCGAAGGCGGUUCUCUGGGCAUUACCUGACGCUGAGGAGCGAAAGUGUGGGGAGCGAAUAGG
rnacentral:rRNA from 1 species